rnacentral:rRNA from 1 species
UUGAACGCUGGCGGCAGGCCUAACACAUGCAAGUCGAACGGUAACAGGAAGAAGCUUGCUUCUUUGCUGACGAGUGGCGGACGGGUGAGUAAUGUCUGGGAAACUGCCUGAUGGAGGGGGAUAACUACUGGAAACGGUAGCUAAUACCGCAUAACGUCGCAAGACCAAAGAGGGGGACCUUCGGGCCUCUUGCCAUCGGAUGUGCCCAGAUGGGAUUAGCUAGUAGGUGGGGUAACGGCUCACCUAGGCGACGAUCCCUAGCUGGUCUGAGAGGAUGACCAGCCACACUGGAACUGAGACACGGUCCAGACUCCUACGGGAGGCAGCAGUGGGGAAUAUUGCACAAUGGGCGCAAGCCUGAUGCAGCCAUGCCGCGUGUAUGAAGAAGGCCUUCGGGUUGUAAAGUACUUUCAGCGGGGAGGAAGGGAGUAAAGUUAAUACCUUUGCUCAUUGACGUUACCCGCAGAAGAGGCACCGGCUAACUCCGUG